rnacentral:rRNA from 1 species
GUGACUAAUAGUGAAUGUAGUACUGUGAAGGAAAAAUAUGAAACUGA